rnacentral:misc_RNA from 1 species
UUUGUACUGUGAUGUGUGUCCCUUAUAUUUGUGCACUUUUCAUAAAAUAUUUAGGAGUUGGGAAUUGGGAUUAUGAUGAAGAAGUUCUCUAGGUUGGUUUGAAGUUUUCAGAUGAACAGGGUAUUUCAUCAGUAGUUUAAAAUGAACUCUGUUUUCAAUUGCUCUAGGGCUUUUAAGUAGCGUGCAUGUGUAGAAUAACAACCAAAUGUUCUCUUGGUUGGGAUUAUGAUGCACUUGUCCUUUAUAAUAAAUUUCUUCACAAAUAUCUUCUAAUUUGCUUCUGAAACCUAAUUACAAGUGCCUUCUUGGAAACUACAGUGUAAUUUGCCAAUGAAAUUUGUUUAUCAUAAAUAAAUUCUGGGUAUUAAAUCCUAUCAAGUAUCAAGCCUCUUAUUGAAAUCUAUGGUGAAAUUUAGCUCUAUUUUUUCUUCUUCU